GAUGAACGCUGGCGGCGUGCCUAAUACAUGCAAGUCGAGCGAACAGACGAGAGUGCUUGCACUCUCUGACGUUAGCGGCGGACGGGUGAGUAACACGUGGGUAACCUACCUAUAAGACUGGGAUAACUUCGGGAAACCGGAGCUAAUACCGGAUAAUAUUUAGCUUCGCAUGAAGCAAUAGUGAAAGACGGUUCUGCUGUCACUUAUAGAUGGACCCGCGGUGUAUUAGCUAGUUGGUGAGGUAACGGCUCACCAAGGCAACGAUACAUAGCCGACCUGAGAGGGUGAUCGGCCACACUGGGACUGAGACACGGCCCAGACUCCUACGGGAGGCAGCAGUAGGGAAUCUUCCGCAAUGGACGAAGGUCUGACGGAGCAAUGCCGCGUGAGUGAAGAAGGUUUUCGGAUCGUAAAACUCUGUUGUAAGGGAAGAACAAGUACGUUAGUAACUGAACGUACCUUGACGGUACCUUACCAGAAAGCCACGGCUAACUACGUG
rnacentral:rRNA from 1 species